rnacentral:lncRNA from 1 species
CUUUGAGAGUCUCUUGAGUUAAACCCCAGGGAGCAGCACCAAUGGAAGCAGAGGGGGGCAGGGACAGUACCAGUACUAAGGAGGCUUCCACCUUGCAGUUAUGAUCAAGUAGUUUAAUAUGGGUUGAUGGAACACGUUCAUAUACAGAGACGAAAUCAUUGUCAAGGAACUCCUAGAAUCUUUGUGGGGGAAGACAGAGGCAGAACAUCAGGGCAAAAUUGGAUCAGUUUGAUGACCAGGCCACAGAGUGAUGUACAUGAUUCCAUUUCCCAAAGGAAGGGAGAAAGACCCAACCACCCAGCAAGCACUGCAGAACUAGUAGACUACCCUGAGAUGAAGAACUGCUGACAUCACUCCCUUCCUCACCGGCUCAGGCACCCUCUUGGGUGUCCAAAAGAAGGAAGAAAGUCCUAGUUAUGUUGCAGAUGCAAUCAAGGCAACAGCCCUCCCUGGGCAGGUACCACUCUGAGGCUUAGGCACUGCUGAAGGGUGAUGUUUAUAGGCACCAUUCAGUACUGACUGAGGAGGGGAAGAAGGAUCUUUCUUUUCCUUUUUUGUUAAAAUUAAUUCAAUGUUGUGUUUGUUGCGGGGAUGGGGAGGAUAUGGGGUGCAGGCUUAGAAGGGACAUGGGGGAAGGUGGAGGGAUUUCCCCUGAGAACAAGGUGGGGG